AUAAAACGACAUAGUAUAGUAUGGCUAGAGACAGCAUAGUGUAGUAAGGACUUAAAACAGCAUAACACCCCACAAUGUUGUGUGGUCUAUAUGACUAGAAAAGCGCUAUAUAAAUACAGUCCAUUUGCCAUAGUAUAGUAUGGCAUAAAAACUACAUAAAAUGACAUAGUACAGCAUGGCAUGAGAUGGCAUAGUGUAGUAAGGCAUACAAAAUCAUAUCUGAAAUGAGUAGAGCAGGUGCAAAUGAUAGAGAUAGGAUGGAUAGGAAUGAGGGAGUGAAGGAAAGGAAGGGGGGCAGGUAGCGGAGGAUGCAGAGAGAGUAGGGUGAUGAUAGUAAGCAGAGGGGGUGACAGACAGGGAGAGAGUAGGAGGGAGUGUGUAUAUCUCUGUAUGUUUCCCCUCAGUGUUCAAUAGAUUAUCAUGUCAAAGUUGCUGUUUUUUCUCUCAAUCAGUGAAUCCAGUAGUUGUUUCCUCCCUGUGACGAUGACGUCAUCCUUUAACGGGACAAAGUGGUGGAAUCCGCCUUUAAUUGAUUGGCAGCUUGUGGCUGCUGAUUAGAGUUGGUUCCACCUGGGCAGACUCGGGCAGCCAAUCAGCUGUCACCCUGCGCACUGAUAAAGAGACGUCAGUGACCCGGCGCGAGCGACGAAACAAGAUCACGGUGUCUGAACCUGGCGACGGGACGAGUCGUGAACCAGUUGUGAACCUGGCGACGGGACGAGUCGUGAACCAGUCGUGAACCUGGCGACGGGACGAGUCGUGAACCUGACGACGGGACGAGUCGUGAACCAGUCGUGAACCUGGCGACGGGACGAGUUUCUGACGACGCCACGAACAAACAUUUGAGAUGAGCAGGUGAACCACGUGGUCCUGACGAGGAGCCUCGCGGGGACGCGCACAGCUGAAGAGCGCAGAGGCAAAACUUCACCGCCAGAGAUAUUCAGGUGGAAGUGGAUGGACGACGUGACACGGACUUGGCGACUGCCUGGAUCUUCACCUGGACGUCUUGAUGGACGGUCCCCUGCCUGCUUCCUGUGUUGAUGUGGAUCCCUGCUGAGAACCUGUCACAGCUCAAGAAGAGAAUACGUCACUGCAAGAAAUAUUAAGGAAGAAUUUAAUCAUAAACAGACAGUUUGUAUGAAAAUCACAAUACAGUUAUGGUGUUAAAUAUUUAUCUUUGUCUGUCAGCAGGAUGAAAAGCUCCUGAUCUGGAGAAAGGGGCGGAGCCAGGGAUGUUAAGUUUCUUUCUUUAACAUUUUUUAACAUGAUUUUUCACAGAAUAAUUCAUGGAUCUAGAUGAAUGAGACAGAACAAUAAAACAUGGUCAAAGAAUUAAGAAAAAUAGUUUUGUUCAUUUCAAAGUUAAAUCAUCAAUGUGGUGAACUUUAGCAGGCUCGAUCUAUAGUUGGUAAAGAUAUGAAUGAUGAUUACCACUGUUAAUAUCAUAACAUCCAGCGUGUUGUAUGGACAAAAAGGAGCUCCUUAAGAAAAUAUCAUUCUUAACAUAAAAACAAUAACAGUCCAUUUCUCUUCAUUGUAGUUUAAAUGUUCUGUCAGUCAGUGUGUUGGUUGGUCUGUAGGUGGGUGAGUCUGUUGGUCGAUACGUUAAUCUGUCUGUAAGUUGAUCCGUUGGUCGAUACGUCGGUCUGUUGGUUGAUACGUCUAUCUGUCGGUCAGUUGAUCUGUUGGUUGAUACGUCUGUCGGUCAGUUGGUCUGUUGAUCCGUCGGUCUGUUGGUUGAUACGUUUCUGUCGGUCGGUCUGUUGGUCGAUACGUUGGUCUGUUGGUCGAUACGUUUGUCGGUCGGUCUGUUGAUCCGGCGGUUGCUUGGUUGGUCUGUUGGUUGAUACGUUUAUCUGUCGGUCAGUUGAUCCGUCGGUCUGUUGGUUGAUACGUUUAUCUGUCGGUCAGUUGAUCUGUUGGUCGAUACGUUUCUGUCUGUUGGUCGAUACGUCGGUCGGUCUGUUGGUCUGUUGAUCCGUCGGUUGCUUGGUUGGUCUGUUUUGUUGAUCGGUCUUGUCGGAGUUCAUGUAGUUUCUGGACUGGAGGUUUCUCCUCCUGCAGUUAAACCAUCACACUGACACAGAUUUAUUGAUUUUAAGUGAGUUGGAUCAAACCAGAAAAAAAAUCUCCAAAGAAUUAAAUCACUGAACAUAAAUUACAUCCACAGUCUGACCCAUAACAAAAUGAGAUUACAGUGCGACUGAAGGAAAGGUUGACCUCUGUUACCUACAUUUUUAUUAGUUACUUCUCUACCUGUGCAUCUCAAUAACUCGUUCUUCUCUCUUCCUUCGAGGUAAAUGGUGAACUGUGUGGACGACGUGACACGGACGGUCCCCUGCCUUCUGUCUGUACUUUACUCUGGUUAGAUUACAGAAUGAGCACAGAGGAAGUGACAUCAAUCUUUCGCUAAAGGAAUCCCAUUUGUCUCUGUGAUCAUCAGGUGUUGAUGUGGAUCCCUGCUGAGAACCUGUCACAGCUCAAGAAGAGAAUAUUUCACUGUAAGAAAUAUUAAGGUGUUGAUGUGGAUCCCUGCUGAGAACCUGUCACAGCUCAAGAAGAGAAUACUUCACUGCAAGAAAUAUUAAGGCAAAGUAUUUAAUCAUAAACAGACAGUUUGUAUGGAAAUCGCAAUACAGAUUUGUCUUUGUCUGUCAGCAGGAUGAAAAGCUCCUGAACGAGGAUCUGGACAAAGGGGCGGAGCCAGGGAUCGGUAGUUUCGUUUUUUAACAUGUUGACGACUCACAGAAUAAUUCAUGGAUCUAGAUGAAUGAUACCAAACAAUACAUUGAAAUGGGAAAAAAAAAUAAUAAUCUUAACUCUUUGACAAAGUUAAAUCCAUCAAUGUGGUGAACUUUAGGAGGCUCGAUCUAUAGUUUGUAAGAUAUGAAUGAUGAUAUCCUAACAUCCAGUGUGUUGUAUGGACAAAUGGAGGAAAGUAGCUUCUUAGGAAAAUAUCGUUCUUAACAUUGACAAAAACAAUAACAGACCUUUUCUGUUCAUUGUAGUUUAAAUGUUCUGUUGGUCUGUCGGUUUGUUUCCAUUGGUCUGUCGGUGUGUUGGUCUGUCGGUUUGUUUCCAUUGGUCUGUUGGUUUGUUUAUCCGUCGGUCUGUUGGAUGGUCGGUUGGUUUGUUUAUCCGUCGGUCUGUUGGUCGGUCGGUUGGUUUGUUUAUCCGUCGGUCUGUUGGACGGUCGGUCUGUUUGUUUAUCCGUCGGUCUGUUUGUUUAUCCGUCGGUCUGUUUGUUUAUCCGUCGG